GGUCUUGUGCUCCUGGGGAGCCUCUGCCUUCCCAUGCAGAUGAUCCAGGUUCGAAUCCUGGCGAGACCC
rnacentral:tRNA from 1 species